GAGAAGAACGCAGCGAAAUGCGAUACGUAAUGUGAAUUGCAAAUUCAGUGAAUCAUCGAGUCUUUGAACGCACAUUGCGCCCCCUGGUAUUCCGGGGGGCAUGCCUGUCCGAGCGUCAUUGCUGCCCUCAAGCACGGCUUGUGUGUUGGGCCCCGUCCUCCGAUCCCGGGGGACGGGCCCGAAAGGCAGCGGCGGCACCGCGUCCGGUCCUCGAGCGUAUGGGGCUUUGUCACCCGCUCUGUAGGCCCGGCCGGCGCUUGCCGAUCAACCCAAAUUUUUAUCCAGGUUGACCUCGGAUCAGGUAGGGAUACCCGCUGAACUUAAGCAUAUCAAUAAGCGGAGG
rnacentral:misc_RNA from 1 species